UACAGAGGUCCCGAGCGUUGUUCGGAUUCACUGGGCGUAAAGGGUGCGUAGGUGGUGGGGUAAGUCUCGUGUGAAAGCUCGCAGCUUAACUGCGAAAAGUCACGGGAUACUAUUCCGCUGGAGGCUUGGAGGGGGGACUGGAAUACUUGGUGUAGCAGUGAAAUGCGUAGAUAUCAAGUGGAACACCAGUGGCGAAGGCGAGUCCCUGGACAAGACCUGACACUGAGGCACGAAAGCGUGGGGAGCAAACAGG
rnacentral:rRNA from 1 species